CCUACGGGUGGCAGCAGUGAGGAAUAUUGGUCAAUGGGCGUAAGCCUGAACCAGCCAAGUCGCGUGAGGGAUGACGGCCCUACGGGUUGUAAACCUCUUUUGCCGGGGAGCAACGGGCGCCACGUGUGGCGCCACUGAGAGUACCCGGAGAAAAAGCAUCGGCUAACUCCGUGCCAGCAGCCGCGGUAAUACGGAGGAUGCGAGCGUUAUCCGGAUUUACUGGGUGUAAAGGGCGUGCAGCCGGGAAGACAAGUCAGAUGUGAAAUCCCGCGGCUCAACCGCGGAACUGCAUUUGAAACUGUUUUUCUUGAGUACCGGAGAGGUCAUCGGAAUUCCUGGUGUAGCGGUGAAAUGCGUAGAUAUAAGGAAGAACACCAGUGGCGAAGGCGGAUGACUGGACGGCAACUGACGGUGAGGCGCGAAAGCGUGGGGAGCAAACAGGAUUAGAUACCCUGGUAGUC
rnacentral:rRNA from 1 species